GAUGAACGCUGGCGGCGUGCUUAACACAUGCAAGUCGAACGGGAUCCGUCAGGCUUUGCUUGGUGGUGAGAGUGGCGAACGGGUGAGUAAUGCGUGACCGACCUGCCCCAUACACCGGAAUAGCUCCUGGAAACGGGUGGUAAUGCCGGAUGCUCCGACUCCUCGCAUGGGGUGUCGGGAAAGAUUUCAUCGGUAUGGGAUGGGGUCGCGUCCUAUCAGGUAGUCGGCGGGGUAACGGCCCACCGAGCCUACGACGGGUAGCCGGCCUGAGAGGGCGACCGGCCACAUUGGGACUGAGAUACGGCCCAGACUCCUACGGGAGGCAGCAAUGGGGAAUAUUGCACAAUGGGCGCAAGCCUGAUGCAGCGACGCCGCGUGCGGGAUGACGGCCUUCGGGUUGUAAACCGCUUUUGAUCGGGAGCAAGCCUUCGGGUGAGUGUACCUUUCGAAUAAGCACCGGCUAACUACGUGCCAGCAGCCGCGGUAAUACGUAGGGUGCAAGCGUUAUCCGGAAUUAUUGGGCGUAAAGGGCUCGUAGGCGGUUCGUCGCGUCCGGUGUGAAAGUCCAUCGCUUAACGGUGGAUCUGCGCCGGGUACGGGCGGGCUGGAGUGCGGUAGGGGAGACUGGAAUUCCCGGUGUAACGGUGGAAUGUGUAGAUAUCGGGAAGAACACCAAUGGCGAAGGCAGGUCUCUGGGCCGUUACUGACGCUGAGGAGCGAAAGCGUGGGGAGCGAACAGGAUUAGAUACCCUGGUAGUCCACGCCGUAAACGGUGGAUGCUGGAUGUGGGGCCCGUUCCACGGGUUCCGUGUCGGAGCUAACGCGUUAAGCAUCCCGCCUGGGGAGUACGGCU
rnacentral:rRNA from 1 species